rnacentral:rRNA from 1 species
UACAGAGGUCCCAAGCGUUGUUCGGAUUCAUUGGGCGUAAAGGGUGCGUAGGCGGCGCGGUAAGUCGGGUGUGAAAUCUCGGAGCUUAACUCCGAAACUGCAUUUGAUACUGGCGUGCUUGAGGACUGGAGAGGAGACUGGAAUUCAUGGUGUAGCAGUGAAAUGCGUAGAGAUCAUGAGGAAGACCAGUGGCGAAGGCGGGGUCUCUGGACAGUUCCUGACACUGAGGCACGAAGGCCAGGGGGAGCAAACGGG